AGAGUUUGAUCAUGGCUCAGGAUGAACGCUGGCGGCGUGCCUAACACAUGCAAGUCGAGCGAACCCUUCGGGGUGAGCGGCGGACGGGUGAGUAACGCGUGGGUAACCUGCCCUGUACACACGGAUAACAUACCGAAAGGUAUGCUAAUACGAGAUAAUAUAUUUUAAUCGCAUGGUUAAGAUAUCAAAGCUCCGGCGGUACAGGAUGGACCCGCGUCUGAUUAGCUAGUUGGUGAGGUAAUGGCUCACCAAGGCGACGAUCAGUAGCCGACCUGAGAGGGUGAUCGGCCACACUGGAACUGAGACACGGUCCAGACUCCUACGGGAGGCAGCAGUAGGGAAUAUUGCGCAAUGGACGGAAGUCUGACGCAGCGACGCCGCGUGAGCGAUGAAGGUCUUCGGAUCGUAAAGCUCUGUCCUUGGGGAAGAAGGCGAAAGCUUGACGGUACCCAAGAAGAAAGCCCCGGCUAACUACGUGCCAGCAGCCGCGGUAAU
rnacentral:rRNA from 1 species